rnacentral:rRNA from 1 species
UACGGGAGGCAGCAGUGGGGAAUAUUGGGCAAUGGGCGAAAGCCUGACCCAGCAACGCCGCGUGAAGGAAGAGGGUCUUCGGAUUGUAAACAUCUGUCCUAUGGGACGAAGGAAGUGACGGUACCAUAGGAGGAAGCCCCGGCUAACUACGUGCCAGCAGCCGCGGUAAU